rnacentral:rRNA from 1 species
GUGGGGAAUUUUGGACAAUGGGCGAAAGCCUGAUCCAGCCAUGCCGCGUGCAGGAUGAAGGCCUUCGGGUUGUAAACUGCUUUUGUACGGAACGAAAAGACUCCUUCUAAUAAAGGGGGUCCAUGACGGUACCGUAAGAAUAAGCACCGGCUAACUACGUGCCAGCAGCCGCGGUAAUACGUAGGGUGCAAGCGUUAAUCGGAAUUACUGGGCGUAAAGCGUGCGCAGGCGGUUAUAUAAGACAGAUGUGAAAUCCCCGGGCUCAACCUGGGAAUUGCGCUUGUGACUGCAAGGAUGGAGUGCGGCAGAGGGGGAUGGAAUUCCGCGUGUAGCAGUGAAAUGCGUAGAUAUGCGGAGGAACACCGAUGGCGAAGGCAAUCCCCUGGGCCUGCACUGACGCUCAUGCACGAAAGCGUGGGGAGCAAACAGGAUUAGAUACCCGGGUAGUCC